rnacentral:lncRNA from 1 species
GAUUCUUCCCAAUUCUACCGCCACCAUUCUGGUUCAAGCUACCUGUAGAGACGGGGUUUCACCAUGUUAGCCAGGAUGGUCUCGAUCUUCUGACCUCGUGAUCCGUCCGCCUCAGCCUUCCAAAGUUCUGGGAUUACAGACGUGAGCCACCGCGCCCGGCCAAAAGAUCCAUAAACUUUGAGUCACCAGAUAGAGCUAACAUUUACCACAGAGGCAUGUAAAGAAAACGAUUCUAGCAGAGUAACUAUAAUACAAAAGAACAAUAUUCCAAUUAUGUUCCUAUGUUCUAUCCAGGAAGGUUUAAGAGGAGCCUUUUAAACUGAACUAUAUUCUAAGAGGUGGGAAAAAGUUUUCUUUUGUUUUUCUUAUUAACCGUACCUUGAAAGCCCCAAAUAAAUGUUCCUUGGUUUAGAUGCCCUGGUAGAUGACCAAAAAAGUUUGACCAGUUAUCAAAAUCUACAAAGACUAUAUGAGUCAUGGUUCGCAGGUAAUCCAAAUCUGGAAGCUCAACAAUUUCUUCCUCUGAGAAGAGAGAAAUAUCAACAUGAGUUCAGUAAGAAUUUGCUAAAAUCAUUCUGAUUUCAAGUCCAAAAAGUAUUAGAAGCCUAAUAUGCAAAAAUACUAACCUUGAAUGUUACUCAUUUCUAUCUAAACCUUUUUGUGAAAUCCAAAUCUGUACAUGACACCAUUUACACUUAAAUCAGAUAAAAAUAAUCUGAACAUUUCA